AUUUUAAUACAAACACUUGACUGUGCUCAAUCAGCAAUCUGCAUGUAUGAAACCUGGCCAGCCCAAACAGUGUAUUAAUCAUUAGCAAAUGGAAUUUUAAGGAGUCCACUAAGUGCUUUCUUAUCAUUAAGGGAAUACAAUUAUUUAUAUUGUAAAACUGAUUGUAGCUUGAUCUUUAGGGGACAGGACCACCAACCAAUACAUGCAGAUUUUGUGUGUGGACAGAAGGUACUUUUGAACAUUUAGUUUUGCUAUAUAGAAACAGAAUGAAUAAAUGAAAUUUAUUUUUUUUUUCCAAGAGGUAAGUAAAAGAUUCAAUUUGAUUCUUCUAGAGGGGGGGAAAAAGUAGCUGAAAGUAGGUCUUCAUUUUGCAGUCAUCAUCUGUAUGAAUUCUUCAUAGUUGACUUGUCCAUCUCCAUCAAUACCUGCUUCUCUGAUCAUUUCAUCUACUUCCUCAUGUUAGUUUUUCUCCUGAGUUUGUCAUGAAGUGAGGUAGUUCUGCUGCACUGAUGUAACCAUUUCCAUCCUUGUCAAAGACUCGGAAUGCCUCAUGGAUUUCUUCUUUGCUAUCUGUACCUUUCUUUUUUCUAGCCAUCAUAGUUAAAAAUUCUGGGAGGUCAAG
rnacentral:lncRNA from 1 species